UGUAGCUUCUUUCCUUUUAAUAAACCUGGCAUUGCAUUGUUGGCUCAGUGACAAAUGGCUUGUUGUGUUCUUAGAUCCUUCAGUGCUGAUGCCCUUCAACGUAGCGGAGUGGAGCUGAUCUUCAUCUCUAAAGCACUAUUGAUGAACCAUAUGAUUAAACAAGUCUGUGACUGACUUAAUGAACCCAGUUGCUUUGGAUCAUGCUCAAAGAUGUAAGGGUUACAAAAAGUUAACCAGAACUCUUAUGGACUCCAUCUUCUCUUUCGAAGAGAUGGCAGCAUGAACGGAAAAAAGGGGGUUGUUGGUGAAAAAAGAGCCUUGACCUACAAAAGGUGCAGCUAAUAAUUGACCAUGUCAAAAAGAGGCACCCAGGCAUAGGAGGCACUGAGAUCAAGGUCUGCAUGGCACAAAAGUUAAAAGAUCUGAGGAGACGGGCA